rnacentral:tRNA from 1 species
GAGAGUAUAGCUCAGUGGUAGAGCACGUGCUUAGCAUGCACGAGGUCCUGGGUUCAAUCCUCAGUAUCUCCA